GGCAGGCUGAGGGCUGAGCAGCUGGGGCCGAGGCUUGUUUUUCCCUCUGUCGCUUGACAGCAAUCUGCACGGCUGCCUCUGCCCGCAGAAGCCUGGGCAGGAUUGUGUUUCUCAGCUGAAUCUGCACACUGGUGACACAUUGUCCAAGCUACGCCCUGGCCAUGGCUUGCCAAGAGUUCUCUUCUCCCUUAUGGAAACAAAGCAUCUCCCAAAUGCAUUUCUAUGGUCACCACCAGAGGUCAAAGAGUAACAGCAGCAACGACAUGCCCGGAGCUCCCACAGUGGAUGUGCUGUCUGUACCCGCUCCUGCUGCACCGUCACCUUGCAGGCUCCUCCUGCUUUUCUGGGUCUUCCAGGCUGGACUCCUCUCCUCCAGUCCUUGGUGAAGCUCACUGAUGUCCCUAUGGCAGCAUACUCUACCUCCUGCUUCAUAUUCACCACCGCCUGGCAAGCUGUGGGUGGGAGGCAGAAUGUCCUGAAGAAGCAGAACCCAUGCGGCCGUCAUCCUACCACUACUGCUUGGACCCUGGUGGGAGACCCAGGCGUACAUGGUGGCCACAAAGGGGGAAAGAAGCGAAGCUCAGUCCCCUGGUAAGACGUUACUUCUCCAGUGAUUUCACCAGAGGACUAAUUGCUACCCUUCUGAGCUUCAAAGCCCGAGUUUGUCAAAGAUUCUAGAAACAAUAAAACCAGUAAU